GCCAACAACCAUAUCACCCUGGAUCUCACAACUGGCAACCCACUGAAGCUAAGCAGGUGUGAGCCUGGUCAGUACCUGGAUAGGAGACCUCCUGGGAAAAACUAAGGUUGCUGCUGGAA
rfam:Lepisosteus oculatus linkage group LG8, whole genome shotgun sequence.